rnacentral:rRNA from 1 species
GAUGAACGCUGGCGGCGUGCCUAAUACAUGCAAGUCGAGCGAACGGACGAGAAGCUUGCUUCUCUGAUGUUGGCGGCGGACGGGUGAGUAACACGUGGAUAACCUACCUAUAAGACUGGGAUAACUUCGGGAAACCGGAGCUAAUACCGGAUAAUAUUUUGAACCGCAUGGUUCAAAAGUGAAAGACGGUCUUGCUGUCACUUAUAGAUGGAUCCGCGCUGCAUUAGCUAGUUGGUAAGGUAACGGCUUACCAAGGCAACGAUGCAUAGCCGACCUGAGAGGGUGAUCGGCCACACUGGAACUGAGACACGGUCUAGACUCCUACGGGAGGCAGCAGUAGGGAAUCUUCCGCAAUGGGCGAAAGCCUGACGGAGCAACGCCGCGUGAGUGAUGAAGGUCUUCGGAUCGUAAAACUCUGUUAUUAGGGAAGAACAUAUGUGUAAGUAACUGUGCACAUCUUGACGGUACCUAAUCAGAAAGCCACGGCUAACUACGUG